GGAUUAGAUACCCUGGUAGUCCACGCUGUAAACGAUGAUCACUAGAUGCUUGUGUCCUAGACAUGAGUGUCCAAGCGAAAGCGAUAAGUGAUCCACCUGGGGAGUACGUUCGCAAGAAUGAAACUCAAAGGAAUUGACGGGGGCCCGCACAAGCGGUGGAGCAUGUGGUUUAAUUCGAUGAUACGCGAGGAACCUUACCUGGGCUACAAUGCCUCUGCUACCUCCUGAAAGGGAGGGUUUCUUCGGAACAGAGUGCAAGGUGCUGCAUGGUUGUCGUCAGCUCGUGCCG
rnacentral:rRNA from 1 species